rnacentral:rRNA from 1 species
AAGAGUUUGAUCAUGGCUCAGAUUGAACGCUGGCGGCAGGCCUAACACAUGCAAGUCGAACGGUAACAGGAAGCAGCUUGCUGCUUUGCUGACGAGUGGCGGACGGGUGAGUAAUGUCUGGGAAACUGCCUGAUGGAGGGGGAUAACUACUGGAAACGGUAGCUAAUACCGCAUAACGUCGCAAGACCAAAGAGGGGGACCUUAGGGCCUCUUGCCAUCGGAUGUGCCCAGAUGGGAUUAGCUAGUAGGUGGGGUAACGGCUCACCUAGGCGACGAUCCCUAGCUGGUCUGAGAGGAUGACCAGCCACACUGGAACUGAGACACGGUCCAGACUCCUACGGGAGGCAGCAGUGGGGAAUAUUGCACAAUGGGCGCAAGCCUGAUGCAGCCAUGCCGCGUGUAUGAAGAAGGCCUUCGGGUUGUAAAGUACUUUCAGCGGGGAGGAAGGGAGUAAAGUUAAUACCUUUGCUCAUUGACGUUACCCGCAGAAGAAGCACCGGCUAACUCCGUGCCAGCAGCCGCGGUAAUACGGAGGGUGCAAGCGUUAAUCGGAAUUACUGGGCGUAAAGCGCACGCAGGCGGUUUGUUAAGUCAGAUGUGAAAUCCCCGGGCUCAACCUGGGAACUGCAUCUGAUACUGGCAAGCUUGAGUCUCGUAGAGGGGGGUAGAAUUCCAGGUGUAGCGGUGAAAUGCGUAGAGAUCUGGAGGAAUACCGGUGGCGAAGGCGGCCCCCUGGACGAAGACUGACGCUCAGGUGCGAAAGCGUGGGGAGCAAACAGGAUUAGAUACCCUGGUAGUCCACGCCGUAAACGAUGUCGACUUGGAGGUUGUGCCCUUGAGGCGUGGCUUCCGGAGCUAACGCGUUAAGUCGACCGCCUGGGGAGUACGGCCGCAAGGUUAAAACUCAAAUGAAUUGACGGGGGCCCGCACAAGCGGUGGAGCAUGUGGUUUAAUUCGAUGCAACGCGAAGAACCUUACCUGGUCUUGACAUCCACGGAAGUUUUCAGAGAUGAGAAUGUGCCUUCGGGAACCGUGAGACAGGUGCUGCAUGGCUGUCGUCAGCUCGUGUUGUGAAAUGUUGGGUUAAGUCCCGCAACGAGCGCAACCCUUAUCCUUUGUUGCCAGCGGUCCGGCCGGGAACUCAAAGGAGACUGCCAGUGAUAAACUGGAGGAAGGUGGGGAUGACGUCAAGUCAUCAUGGCCCUUACGACCAGGGCUACACACGUGCUACAAUGGCGCAUACAAAGAGAAGCGACCUCGCGAGAGCAAGCGGACCUCAUAAAGUGCGUCGUAGUCCGGAUUGGAGUCUGCAACUCGACUCCAUGAAGUCGGAAUCGCUAGUAAUCGUGGAUCAGAAUGCCACGGUGAAUACGUUCCCGGGCCUUGUACACACCGCCCGUCACACCAUGGGAGUGGGUUGCAAAAGAAGUAGGUAGCUUAACCUUCGGGAGGGCGCUUACCACUUUGUGAUUCAUGACUGGGGUGAAGUCGUAACAAGGUAACCGUAGGGGAACCUGCGGUUGGAUCACCUCCUUACCUUAAAGAAGC